rnacentral:tRNA from 1 species
GGAGAUAUGGUUCAGUAGUAAAAGAGUGGCCUGCUUAGCAAGCAUGAGACCCUGAGUUCAAACCUCAGUACCACCA